ensembl:lncRNA
GAAUUCAUCCCUUGAGCACAGAUUGAUGGCCAGUCCUAGAAAUUACCACCAGGCGGAAGUAAUUAGUGAUAUAAAAACUGUCUCCGUUACUCAGUUUAUAAGCACUUCUGCUUGAAGGAGAAAAAUAGCCGUGUUCCAGUUUCUGCCUCCCAAAGAACUGACACCAACUACAGCAAUGAACUUCAUGACACUGAUCCCUGGGAAUGAAGCAGCCUCAGAAAAAUCACUGGACAGGAGGAGAAACUCAACUGAAGGUGUUUGACAGCGGUGUUCUGACUGAUGACAUUCCAGCUUCACCCAAGGACUGUGCCACAUGCCAUCAAAGAAUGGGUCACAUACAACUGUGUCUGCUGUUAAUGCUGCCAAGCGCUCUGGACGUCUUCUGUGCUUCCAAAUGCAACAAUGCCCUGUAGGGACUGAAAGGCCUCACUUAGCGUGUCUUCCCGGAUAGAGAAAAGGGAACCUUCAGAACGAAAAUGAGAUGUCUCUUAAGGAAAGCGUUCUUCCCUCUGCGUUACUGAAAAGCAGGAAUUGUUCUAAGCAGAACAAAAGCAAUACCAAAAGGAAAUGUUUGCAAUAUUCAGUAUUCAACGUUGACGCUUUCAAAAGAUGUGUUUCCUUGCGGAGCCAAGCAGUUGACUCCCUGCCACUAAUACCAUUAUUUAUAGUGUGGCACAGGCAAAGGGACUUAAUCCAGCAG